AUACUGGACAAUGGGCGAAAGCCUGAUCCAGCCAUGCCUCGUGUGUGAAGAAGGUCUUCUGAUUGUAAACUACUUUAAGUUGGGAGGAAGGGGUUCAAGCUAAUACCUUCAAUCUUUGACCUUACCAACAGAAUAAGCACCGGCUAACCCUGUCCCAGCAGCCGCGGUAAUACAGAGGGUACAAGCGUUAAUCGGAAUUACUGGGCGUAAAGCGCGGGUAGGUGGUUCAGUAAGAUGGAAGUGAAAUCCCCGGGCUUAACCUGGGAACUGCUUUCAUAACUGCUGAGCUAGAGUACGGUAGAGGGUAGUGGAAUUUCCUGUGUAGCGGUGAAAUGCGUAGAUAUAGGAAGGAACACCAGUGGCGAAGGCGACUACCUGGACUGAUACUGACACUGAGGUGCGAAAGCGUGGGGAGCAAACA
rnacentral:rRNA from 1 species